GGAGGAGUGGCCGAGCGGCUGAAGGCAGCGGUCUUGAAAACCGCAGAGGGUGAAAGCUCUCCGUAGGUUCGAAUCCUACCUCCUCCGAUA
rnacentral:tRNA from 1 species